rnacentral:rRNA from 1 species
GAUGAACGCUGGCGGCGUGCCUAAUACAUGCAAGUCGAGCGAAAAGACGAGGAGCUUGCUCCUCUGACGUUAGCGGCGGACGGGUGAGUAACACGUGGAUAACCUACCUAUAAGACUGGGGUAACGUCGGGAAACCGGAGCUAAUGCCGGGUAACAUCUUGAACCGCAUGGUUUGACAGUGAAAGACGGUUUUGCUGUGAGUUAUAGAUGGAUCCGCGCCGCAGUAGCGAGUUGGUAAUGUAACGGGUUACCAAGGAGACGAUCCGUAGCCGGCGUGGGAGGGUGGUCGGCCAGACUGGACCUGAGACACGGUCCAGACUCCUACGCGAGGCAGCCGUAGGGAAUCGUCCGCAAUGGGCGAAAGCCUGACGGGGCAGCGCGGCGGGAGUGAAGAAGGUCUGCGGGUCGUAAAGCUCUGUUAGUAGUGAAGAACAAAUGGGUAUGUAACUAUGCACGUCGUGACGGUACUUGAUCAGAAAGCCCCGGCUAACUACGUG